CAUGCUAGCCGGGGAGGCAGCGGCGCCCUGUACCCACAAUCCGCUACAGUGGGGGUGAUGUCCGUUCUGCGGAUGCGUUUAUUCGCAGCUGCCCCGGGAAUGAGGCGUUGAAAGGCUGAGUCUUGUGCAAUAGGAACCUGUGAACCGUGUCAGGUCCGGAAGGAAGCAGCACUAAGCAGUUAUUUCUAUGUGCCACGAGGUCGCUUGGUCCGAGUCUUUGAACCGGGUAACGUGCG
rnacentral:SRP_RNA from 2 species